CUGAGCUGUUGCACCUAUGUACUGAAACCUCUGAACUGUGAGCUAAAUAAACCUCCCCUUUACUUUGGGUGUUGGGUAUUUCGUCUCAGCAAUGAGAGAGGAAUAACUAACACACCACUGAUCUUUUCAGAUGAUAGGGCCCAGCAUUUGAGAGGCUGAGGCAGGAGGAUCACUAGGAAUUUGAGGCCAGCCUCAACUAUACAGAGAUGCUGUCACACACACACACAAAGAUGGUAGAAAAUAGUGAGAGUCUGGGUACCUCCCUGUUAGAACUUAGUUCCUUAAAAGGCUUUGCUCAAAGUUGAUGAGAGAGAAAAGCCAGACAGCCGGGCAUGGUGGCACACUCCUGUAAUCAGGAGGCUGAGGCAGGAGGAUCACUGAGUUCAAGGCCAGCCUAACCUGCAUAGUAAGACCUUGUCUCAAAAAAAAAACGAAAAAAGAAAAACCAGAAACUCCCCUUUGAGCAAGCAGAAACCUAUUAAAUGAAAUAAUAAAGUUUUCUACACAGUGGCAACAAAAGCCAUAAAAUACGUCAGAAUAAACCUCAUCAAGUUACAAAAUCUUUAUGAUGAAGCGUGGCUGAACUGCAGAAUAAGGCCAAGUGAAUGGAAAACAGAAGUUACUUUCUCAGGUUACUCGACCCCAACACAGGCACAGAAACAUGAAGCCACGUGACCUCGGGUUGAAACCUCUGAAACCAUGGGCCGAAAUAAUCCUCUGAUCCUUUCAAGUUCUUCAUCUUGGGUGUUUUGUCACAGUGAUGGUCUCAUUGGUGCAGCCUCGGAAGGGAGCAAACACUGUGUGUCCACAUAGUGGAUGAGAUGGAGAACAAAAGGGAAAACAGUCGGACUCGCUUUUUAAUACCUUCCGUAAGAACGCUACUUCUACUGAUAAGCACAUAGUGCCUCUCUGCCAUGACACCCUGAGUUGGAACCUACUAUGGCUAUGGACUGAAACUUGUACAAACUGAGCUGAAAUAAACCUUUCCUCCUUCGACUUGUGGGUGUCCAGUACUCUGUCC
rnacentral:lncRNA from 1 species